GAGGGCAGCGAAUAGAGCAUGCCGUCAUGGCCCAUGGCGAUGCCGUCGUCGACGGCGAUCGUAUUGAAUUCCUUGGCGACGCCGCCGGCCGCCUCGAUCUCGCGC
rnacentral:sRNA from 1 species